GGAUGUGAGGGCAAUCUAGUUGCAACUCUUGUUAUCCCAUUGAUUGCCAGGAGUGUUUUGCUGAUCUGGCUGGUUAAGAUGGGUGUCCUCUUCCUCUGCUAUCUUUUCACAUGUGUGCCUCCCAAAGCAGAGGGCUUGCUUGAAGAGGAUGACCUUCCUUGGGAGAGGAGGACCAUUUUCAGUAAGUGUGUAAGUAGCUGUGCUUCCUUGUUAGGACCUCCAAACAAGCUUGCAAAGUCCACUUGUAGGAAAAGGAAAAGAGAAAAACCUAUGAUC
rnacentral:snRNA from 1 species